rnacentral:sRNA from 1 species
AUGUCCAAAAAAUGAUAGUAUGCGUCCA